rnacentral:rRNA from 1 species
GAGUUUGAUCUUGGCUCAGAUUGAACGCUGGCGGCAGGCCUAACACAUGCAAGUCGAGCGGAUGAGAGGAGCUUGCUCCUUGAUUCAGCGGCGGACGGGUGAGUAAUGCCUAGGAAUCUGCCUGAUAGUGGGGGACAACGUUUCGAAAGGAACGCUAAUACCGCAUACGUCCUACGGGAGAAAGCAGGGGACCUUCGGGCCUUGCGCUAUCAGAUGAGCCUAGGUCGGAUUAGCUAGUAGGUGAGGUAACGGCUCACCUAGGCGACGAUCCGUAACUGGUCUGAGAGGAUGAUCAGUCACACUGGAACUGAGACACGGUCCAGACUCCUACGGGAGGCGAGCAGUGGGGAAUAUUGGACAAUGGGCGAAAGCCUGAUCCAGCCAUGCCGCGUGUGUGAAGAAGGUCUUCGGAUUGUAAAGCACUUUAAGUUGGGAGGAAGGGCUGCAAGUUAAUACCUUGUAGUUUUGACGUUACCAACAGAAUAAGCACCGGCUAACUUCGU